rnacentral:rRNA from 1 species
UACGGAGGGUGCGAGCGUUGUCCGGAAUCACUGGGCGUAAAGGGCGCGUAGGCGGCCUGAUAAGUAGGGGGUGAAAUCCUGCGGCUUAACCGCAGGGCUGCCUUCUAAACUGUCAGGCUAGAGCACAGUAGAGGCAGGUGGAAUUCCCGGUGUAGCGGUGGAAUGCGUAGAGAUCGGGAAGAACAUCAGUAGCGAAGGCGGCCUGCUGGGCUGUUGCUGACGCUGAGGCGCGACAGCGUGGGGAGCAAACAGG